CCUACGGGUGGCUGCAGUGAGGAAUAUUGGUCAAUGGGCGCAAGCCUGAACCAGCCAAGCCGCGUGAAGGAUGACUGCCCUAUGGGUUGUAAACCUCUUUUAUCGGGGAACAAAGUGCCGUACGUGUACUGCUUUGCAUGUACCCUAUGAAUAAGCAUCGGCUAACUCCGUGCCAGCAGCCGCGGUAAUACGGAGGAUCCGAGCGUUAUCCGGAUUUAUUGGGUUUAAAGGGAGCGGAGGCGGGGUGUUAAGUCAGUGGUGAAAUUUCGGGGCUCAACCCUAACAUUGCAGUUGAUACUGGUGGCCUUGAGUGCGGGGGAGGUAGGCGGAAUGCGUGGUGUAGCGGUGAAAUGCAUAGAUAUCGCGAAGAACUCCGAUUGCGAAGGCAGCGUGCCGUACUGUAACUGACGCUGAGGCUCGAAAGUGUGGGGAUCGAACAGGAUUAGAUACCCUUGUAGUC
rnacentral:rRNA from 1 species